rnacentral:rRNA from 1 species
AGCGAACGCUGGCGGCAGGCCUAACACAUGCAAGUCGAACGAACCCUUCGGGGUUAGUGGCGGACGGGUGAGUAACACGUGGGAACGUACCUUUAGGUUCGGAACAACACAGGGAAACUUGUGCUAAUGCCGAAUGUGCCCUUCGGGGAAGGAUUUAUCGCCUUUAGUAGCGGCCCGCGUCUGAUUAGCUUGUUGGUGAGGUAAAGGACUCACCAAGGCUUCGAUCAGUAGCUGGUCUGAGAGGANGAUCAGCCACACUGGGACUGAGACACGGCCCAGACUCCUACGGGAGGCAGCAGUGGGGAAUCUUGCGCAAUGGGCGGAAAGCCUGACGCAGCCAUGCCGCGU